AAUCUAGGAUUUCCCAGGAAGGCAUUAUUAGCCUCCUUUCCUGCAAACAUUGUGGUGCAUCUUGGGAAGAGAAAUUCAAAUUAGCUACCAAAAGAUAUUGGACUGCUGUCUCUGAUGAUGUUCCAGUGCCCCCUGAGGGCUUCUAAGUGUAAUAAAAGCAGACGAAAAAGCGGCUUCGUAUGAAAUAAUUCACUAUGCAGGAACAAAGCUGAAUAUGGGACUCAAAGGAUCUCUGAAGUAAAGAUUAACUGCCAGUCAUCAGGAAACCUAAAGUCAUUUGAAAUAAAAGGUGCCACAAGCCAAAAGAUAGAAGCCAUAAACACAUACAAUAUUAAUAAAGCAAUUACAGAAAUAUUACACUGAGGGGAAACUAUAUCUCAUGAUGGAAGAAAUAAUAGGAAUCACCCCCGUUGAAUCGGUGAGGGAGAUGAAGCUGCAGUUCUGUGCUCCCAGACCCGCCCAGCAGAUGGCACCUUCCCCGUGGAGACCUAA